AUAAUAUCCAAAUAUGAAGAUCGAUCAUAUGUAAUUCCUCAACUCCCUUAGAGCGCCUAAAAAUGUAUCUAAAAGAAAAUAAGUAUGAAACACAACGAAAAAUUAAAAUCGUGCAAUAAUCGUGCGAAAGGCUUUUAUGCCCAAAAUUGUUCAGAAAGAAAGUCUGAUGUUUUAAGCUCCAAAAUCCUUUAUAACUUACACUUAACACUAUGAAAAUUAAAAGCAACGCAAGUUUUAAAUGUUUCUUUGUUUGAGUAAGUUUAAAACAUUGGAUUCAAGAUUUUCAAAAUCAUUUCCAUUUAAAAACCUGUUAAAACAAUGCUUUCUUAUUUUAAAGCUUUACUCCAGCGAAAAUCAUUUUUGAAGCAAAACAUAAAAUUUCAAAAGCAUUAGGCUUCGAGUGCUCCCUCUUAUAAACUGCUAAAACAACUUAGCACACAAUUAAUCACAUCAGGCAGCAAUAACAACUGCCCAAAUAAUAUCCAGAAUAUGAAGGUCAUCUUAUGUAAUUCCAUCAACUUCCUUAGAGCACCUAAAAAUGUAUCUAAAAGAAAAUAAGUAUGAAACAACGAAAAAUUAAAAUCGCUGCCAAUAUUGUGCGAAUGGCCUUUAAGCCCAUAAUUGGUGUCAGAAACCAAAGAUCUAAUGGCUUUAAGGCCCAAAUCCUUUAUAACAUACGCUUAACCACUUAAUUGAAAAAUUAAAACCAACGCAAGUUUGCCAUGUUUCUUUGUUUGAGCAAGUUUAAAACAUUUUGGAUUCAAGAUUUUCAAUAUUUCAUUUCCAUUUAUUUUAAACUUUACUCCUGAAAAAAGUUUUCAAUCAAAAUAUUAAAAUUUCAUAGCAUUAGCUUCGAGUGCUUCAUGAAAAUUUUAGAAAGUUUUAUAUUUCUUUGUUUAACGGACUUGGAUCAAACUUUCAAAACAUUUCCUUUAAAACUUGUUGAACCAAUCUCUAAAAAUAUUUUAAAAGCAAAAAUUUCGAACAAACAUAAAAUUUCAAGGCUUCGAGUGCUCCUCUUAUAAACUGCUAAAACAACUUAGCACAAAAUUAAUCACAUCAGGCAGCAACACAACUGCCCAAAUAAUAUCCGAAUAUGAAGGUCAUCCUUAUGUAAUGCGUCACCAACUUCCUUAGAGCACGUGAAAAUGUAUCUAAAAAGAAAAUAAGUACGAAACGCAACGAAAAAUUAAAAUCAUACAAUAAUUGUGGGAAUAGUUUUUAUGCCCAAAAUUGUUCAGAAGCAAAGUCUGAUGUUUUAAGCUCCAAAAUCCUUUAUAACUUACACUUAACACUGUGAAGAAUUAAAACCAACACAAGUUUUAUAUGUUUCUUUGUUUGAGCAAGUUUAAAACAUUUGAUUCAAGAUUUUCAAAAUCAUUUCCAUUUAAAAACCUGUGAAAACAAUGCUUAUUUUAAAGCUUUACUCGAACGAAAAUCGUUUUCAAAUCAAAUAUAAAAUUUCAAAAGCAUUAGCUUCGAGUGCUCCUCUUAUAAACUGCUAAAAACAACUUAGCACACAAUAAUCACAUCAGGCAGCAACACAACUGCCAAAUACUAUCCGAAAUAUGAAGGUCAUCCUAUGUAAUUCGUCAUCAACUUCCUUAGAGCGCUUAAAAAUGUAUCUAAAAGGAAAAUAAUGUAUGAAACCAACGAAAAAUUAAAAUCAUACAAUAAUCGUGCAGAAUGGUUUUAUGCCCAAAAUUGUUCCAGAAGCAAAGUCUGAUGUUUUUAAGCACCAAAUCCUUUAUAACUUACACUUAACACUGUGAAGAAUUAAAAUCAAGGCAAGUUUUAUAUGUUUCUUUGUUUGAGCAAGUUUCAAAACAUUGGAUUCAAGAUUUUCAAAAUCAUUUCCAUUUAAAAACCUGUUAAAACAUGCUUUCUAUUUUAAAGCUUUACUCCAGCGAAUUUCCUUUUUGAAGCAAACAUAAAAUUUCAAAAAGCAUUAGGCUUCGAGUGCUCCUCUUAUAAACUGCUAAAACAAGUUAGCACACAAUUAAUCACAUCAAGCACCAAUAAAAACUGCACAAAUAAUAUCCAACUAUCAAGAUCAUUCUCAUGUAAUCCACAAGUUCCUUAGAGCACCUAAAACUGUAUCUAAAAGAAAAUAAGUACGAAAGACAAUAAAAAAAAAUCAUGCGAAAAUGUUUUUAUGUCACAAUUUGAAAUUCUGUGAAUGGCAUUUAUGUGCAUAAUUGUUCAAAAACUAAGUCUGAUGUUUUAAGCUCUAAAAUCCUUUAUAACUUCCAGUUAACGCUGUGACAUAUUAAAACAAUGCAAGUUCCACAAUGUUUCUUUGUUUGAAAAAGUUUAAGACAUUGGAUUCAGAUAUUCGAAUUCAUUUCCAUUUAAAAACCUGCUAAAACAAUGCUUUCAUAUUUUAAAGCUCGACUGCAGCGAAAAUCAUUUUCAAAGCAAAACAUAAAACUACAAAAACAUUAGGCUUCGAGUGCUCCCCCUAUAUACUGCUAAAACAAGUUAGUAAAUAAUUAAUCACAUCGAGCGCCAAUAACAACUUCACAAAUAAUAUCAAAAUAUCAAUAUCAUUCAUAUGUAAUUCUUCAACAUCCUUUGAGCACCUAAAAAUGUAUCUAAAAGCAAAUAAGUACGAAACAUAACGAAAAAUUAAAAUCAUGUAGUAAUUUUGCGAAUGGCUUUUAUGCCCAGAAUUGUUCAGAAACAAAGUCUGAUGUUUUAAGCUUGAAAAUCUUUUAUAGGCAAUUCAAAUUUUAUCAUGCUUCUUUGCUUGAGCAAGUUGAAAACGUUGUAUUCAAGAUAUUCAAAUGCAUUUCCAUUUAAAAACCUGCUAAAAGAUUGCUUUCAUAUUUUAAAGCUUGGCUCCGGUGAAAAUCAUUUUCAAAGCAAAACAUAAAAUUUCAAAAGCAUUAAGCGUCAAGUGCUCCUUUUAUAAACUGCUAAAACAAUUUAGCACACAUUAAUUACAUCUAGCACCAGUACAACUUCCCAAUAAUAUCCAAAUAUGAAGGUCAUCCCCAUGUAAAUCUCAUCAACUUCCUUAGAGCACCUAAAAAGUAUCUAAAAGGAAAUAAGUAUGAAAACACAACGAAAAAUUAAAAUCGUGCA
rnacentral:lncRNA from 1 species